AUGGAUGACCUCGGCACAUGCACGGUCGCUGGCGGGGAUGGGCUUGUUCUCGCUGGUGGUGGGUUGGUCGGGCGUCUUCUCGGUGGAGAGAAGGUCGAAUCUGACGGUUACAUUGAUUGGCAUGCCCGUUACACCUUACAUACUUGUUGUGGGCCGCGGCGCUUGUUGUGUCUUGCAUUGCAAGCCCGGCCGAUCGUGCGCACUGCUGCGGUGAAGGAGAGGGGAAUGCUGCCUUCAAGGAAGAAAGAAGCAUGGAAAUUACAUUUUCCCCUCCGCUUUUCUUACAUUUACUUGUUUGGUCAUAUACAAUGUAAAAUAAAUUUAUGA
rnacentral:rRNA from 1 species